CCCUUAGAUGUUCUGGGCCGCACGCGCGCUACACUGACGGAGUCAACGAGUUGUCCUGCAUCGGAAGGUGUGGGUAAUCUUUUGAAACUUCGUCGUGCUGGGGAUAGAUCUUUGCAAUUUUCGAUCUUGUACGAGGAAUUCCUAGUAAGCGUGAUUCAUCAGAUCGCGUUGAUUACGUCCCUGCCCUUUGUACACACCGCCCGUCGCUACUACCGAUUGAAUGGUUUAGUGAGGCCUCGGGACUGGCGCGCUCGAGUAGCAAUACACCUGCGCGCCGGGAACUUGGUCAAACUUGAUCAUUUAGAGGAAGUAAAAGUCGUAACA
rnacentral:rRNA from 1 species